ACCUACCCUUGACAUCCUGCGAACCCGGAAGAGAUCUCUCGGGGUGCCUUCGGGAGCGCAGAGACAGGUGCUGCAUGGCUGUCGUCAGCUCGUGUUGUGAAUGUUGGGUUAAGUCCCGUAACGAGCGCAACCCUUGUCCCUAUUUGCCAGCGAUUCGGUCGGGAACUCUAGGGAGACUGCCGGUGACAAACCGGAGGAAGGUGGGGACGACGUCAAGUCAUCAUGGCCCUUACGGGUAGGGCUACACACGUGCUACAAUGGCCGGUACAAAGGGUUGCGAAGCCGCGAGGUGAAGCCAAUCCCAGAAAGCCGGCCUCAGUCCGGAUUGGAGUCUGCAACUCGACUCCAUGAAGUCGGAAUCGCUAGUAAUC
rnacentral:rRNA from 1 species